rnacentral:rRNA from 1 species
GAUGAACGCUGGCGGCGUGCCUAAUACAUGCAAGUCGAGCGAACAGAUGAGGAGCUUGCUCCUCUGACGUUAGCGGCGGACGGGUGAGUAACACGUGGAUAACCUACCUAUAAGACCGGGAUAACUUCGGGAAACCGGAGCUAAUACCGGAUAAUAUAUUGAACCGCAUGGUUCAAUAGUGAAAGACGGUUUUGCUGUCACUUAUAGAUGGAUCCGCGCCGCAUUAGCUAGUUGGUAAGGUAACGGCUUACCAAGGCAACGAUGCGUAGCCGACCUGAGAGGGUGAUCGGCCACACUGGAACUGAGACACGGUCCAGACUCCUACGGGAGGCAGCAGUAGGGAAUCUUCCGCAAUGGGCGAAAGCCUGACGGAGCAACGCCGCGUGAGUAAUGAAGGUCUUCGGAUCGUAAAACUCUGUUAUUAGGGAAGAACAAAUGUGUAAGUAACUAUGCACGUCUUGACGGUACCUAAUCAGAAAGCCACGGCUAACUACGUG